UACAGAGGUCUCAAGCGUUGUUCGGAUUCAUUGGGCGUAAAGGGUGCGUAGGUGGCGCCAUAAGUCGGGUGUGAAAUCUCGGGGCUUAACUCCGAAACUGCAUUCGAUACUGUGGUGCUUGAGGACUGGAGAGGAGACUGGAAUUCAUGGUGUAGCAGUGAAAUGCGUAGAGAUCAUGAGGAAGACCAGUGGCGAAGGCAGCACUCUGGGACGGUACUGACGCUGAGACGCGAAAGCGUGGGGAGCAAACAGG
rnacentral:rRNA from 1 species